AAAUGACUCUCGGCAACGGAUAUCCUGGCUCUCGCAUCGAUGAAGAACGUAGCGAAAUGCGAUACUUGGUGUGAAUUGCAGAAUCCCGUGAACCAUCGAGUCUUUGAACGCAAGUUGCGCCCGAUGCCACUAGGUUGAGGGCACGCCUGCCUGGGUGUCAUGC
rnacentral:rRNA from 2 species